rnacentral:lncRNA from 1 species
AUUUUAAAAAAAUAACUGAAAUACCAUAUCCAACCUAAAUUUAAAAAAUAAUUCCUUAAUAUCAUAAACUAUCCAGGGAGUGUUCACAUUUCCAGUUGUCUUAUAAAUAUCACAGAUGUUUUUUGUAUGAUUUGUAUGAAUCAGAAUUCAAACACAGUCCACAUCAUGCUACUGGUUGCUAUGUCUCUAGUCUCUUUUUUCAUCCGCAGGCUCCCCUUCCAUCUCUUUUUUCCCCCUUGGAGUUAAUUUGUUGAAGGAACAAGAUCAUUUGUUGGGUAGAGUUUCCCCAGCUGGGAUUCUGCUGAUUGCAUCCCUGUGGUGGUAAUGUGGUUCCCUGAUGUCCGUAUUUCCUGGAAGCUGGUAAUCAGAUCCUCAGGCUUUGAUCUGAUUCAGGUUUGACUUAUUGGCAAGACUACAUCAUAGAAGGCGUGUUCUUCGUGUGUGGAAUCACAUCGGGUCUAGCUGUCUCUCUUUUUGUGAUGUGAGCAGCCAUUGAAGCUCGAUGGCAGGAUCCCUUCAAUCAGGAGGGUUCUUCACUCUAAUUCUAAUUCCAUCACUCCUUUUUCAGGAUGAGCUGGAGUGCUUCCAUAAAGAGACACGUCUCUCAUCUACAGCUUAGAUGCGCAGUGGUCCAAGGUACAAAUGGAGUCCGCCUACACUCUGACAGCCAUGAACCGACUCCAAGGACAUUGCUGUGCGCUGAGAAGCUGACACAGAGCAGAAUAAAGCACGAAGAUGACCAAACACAGACUGCCUGGUUUAUCCACAUAGCUGACUCUUCUGGAAUACCCUGCAUCUCAUUGCAGUGGAAGAUCAGGAAAUGAGAAAAACCUUAAUCUCAAAACUGGACGCAUCUACUCGAAUCAAGGAAGUCAGUCUCAUUUGAGAACAGCGCUCCCAGGCUCCCCAUCCACACUCGAAAGCUACACAAUGGCUUUUCCAAUCACAAGUCAAAUAAGCAUCUAAAGUUAAAGCCAUAAAGCCAUGAAAUAAAGCAUCAGGGAAUAACCCCACCCUGUCUCCCUUCCAGUUCCUGAGCGAGCGAGAGGUCCCAGGUUAGGGAUCUUGGCAUUUCUCCAUUCCUUUGCAGUCCCUAAACCAGCAAGACAGGAAUUAGCAAGAGCUGCAUCUAAUCUCCUCCAUAGCUUGUGGAUUUGCAUUAUUUACAUAUAUGGGAAGCACCCAUAAUUGAGUAAUUAUUCCAGCAUUUAAAGAAUGCCAAACAAUGAGCCAUUUCUUCUUCAGACCCGAUCUGGCCCAUUUCCGUUUUCCUCUUAGCACACUGUGUAGAAUUACCCAAUGUGUCACUUCCUAGAACACUGGAUUGUUUAUACAAGUAAGCAAGACUUCUUUGGCAGUAUUUAUUUCUCUCAUUUUAGACAUGAUGAUUGCAGCCUUCACAGUGCUCCCUUUUCUAGAAGCUUCUCAAGUGUUGAAUGUGUAUAGAUGCAAUUUUGUGCCUUCCUUUUUAAAAUAAGGGUUAUCCUUUGGGAAGAGGGGUGGGGAGAGAAGGCAGAAUCGAAGAGAGUAAAAAGUCUCGAAGCUCUGUGCUUGCUUGUCUGGCAUGCAAGGAGCGUGUUGGAUUUACUCCUUAACAAGCAUUUUAAAGAAAAUACUCUGCAAGCUAUACUUGAGUGCAUUUUAACAGUUUAGGAAAGAGAAUUUCCCAGAGGGUCUGAGAGGAUGAGAACAAGUAUUUGCAUCUGGAUUAUGGAGGACCUAAGUGGAUUUUUCCUGAGCUGUUUUUCCAUCAGAAAUCUUGGUGGGAG